rnacentral:rRNA from 1 species
ACCUCGGGGGGCAGCAGUGGGGGAUAUUGCACAAUGGGGGGAACCCUGAUGCAGCGACGCCGCGUGGGCGAUGGAGUACUUCGGUAUGUAAAGCCCUAUCAGCAGGGAAGAAAAUGACGGUACCUGACUAAGAAGCCCCGGCUAAAUACGUGCCAGCAGCCGCGGUAAUACGUAUGGGGCAAGCGUUAUCCGGAUUUACUGGGUGUAAAGGGAGCGUAGGCGGCCUGGCAAGCCUGAUGUGAAAUACCGGGGCCCAACCCCGGGGCUGCAUUGGGAACUGCCAGGCUGGAGUGCCGGCGAGGCAG